CCUACGGGAGGCAGCAGUGGGGAAUAUUGGGCAAUGGGCGCAAGCCUGACCCAGCAACGCCGCGUGAAGGAAGAAGGCUUUCGGGUUGUAAACUUCUUUUCUCAGGGACGAAGCAAGUGACGGUACCUGAGGAAUAAGCCACGGCUAACUACGUACCAGCAGCCGCGGUAAUACGUAGGUGGCAAGCGUUAUCCGGAUUUACUGGGUGUAAAGGGCGGGUAGGCGGGAAAGCAAGUCAGAUGUGAAAACCAUGGGCUCAACCUGUGGCCUGCAUUUGAAACUGUUUUUCUUGAGUACUGGAGAGGCAGACGGAAUUCCUAGUGUAGCGGUGAAAUGCGUAGAUAUUAGGAGGAACACCAGUGGCGAAGGCGGUCUGCUGGACAGCAACUGACGCUGAGGCGCGAAAGCGUGGGGAGCAAACAGGAUUAGAUACCCGAGUAGUC
rnacentral:rRNA from 1 species